ACCUAGCGGCGGACGGGUGAGUAAUGCUUAGGAAUCUGCCUAUUAGUGGGGGACAACAUUCCGAAAGGAAUGCUAAUACCGCAUACGUCCUACGGGAGAAAGCAGGGGAUCUUCGGACCUUGCGCUAAUAGAUGAGCCUAAGUCGGAUUAGCUAGUUGGUGGGGUAAAGGCCUACCAAGGCGACGAUCUGUAGCGGGUCUGAGAGGAUGAUCCGCCACACUGGGACUGAGACACGGCCCAGACUCCUACGGGAGGCAGCAGUGGGGAAUAUUGGACAAUGGGCGGAACCCUGAUCCAGCCAUGCCGCGUGUGUGAAGAAGGCCUUAUGGUUGUAAAGCACUUUAAGCGAGGAGGAGGCUACUCUAGUUAAUACCUAGGGAUAGUGGACGUUACUCGCAGAAUAAGCACCGGCUAACUCUGUGCCAGCAGCCGCGGUAAUACAGAGGGUGCGAGCGUUAAUCGGAUUUACUGGGCGUAAAGCGUGCGUAGGCGGCUUUUUAAGUCGGAUGUGAAAUCCCCGAGCUUAACUUGGGAAUUGCAUUCGAUACUGGGAAGCUAGAGUAUGGGAGA
rnacentral:rRNA from 1 species